rnacentral:tRNA from 1 species
GUCGGGAUAGCUCAGCUGGUAGAGCACAG